rnacentral:rRNA from 1 species
CCUACGGGAGGCAGCAGUGGGGAAUAUUGCACAAUGGGGGAAACCCUGAUGCAGCGACGCCGCGUGAGUGAAGAAGUAUUUCGGUAUGUAAAGCUCUAUCAGCAGGGAAGAAGAAAGACGGUACCUGACUAAGAAGCCCCGGCUAACUACGUGCCAGCAGCCGCGGUAAUACGUAGGGGGCAAGCGUUAACCGGAUUUACUGGGUGUAAAGGGAGCGUAGACGGCUGUGCAAGUCUGAAGUGAAAGCCCAGGGCUCAACCCUGGGACUGAUUUUGAAACUGUGGAGCUAGAGUGCUGGAGAGGGGAGUAGAAUGCCAUGGGUAGCGGUGAAAUGCGUAAAUAUUAGGAGGAAAACCAGGGGGGAAGGCGGCUUACUGGACAAUAACUGACGUUGAGGCUCGAAGGCGUGGGGAGCAAACAGGAUUAGAUACCCCUGUAGUC